UCUUAUUUGGGCAGGAGGGGGUGGUUAAGAUUGUAAUUAAUGGUGAUCCAUCAUUAGCUCCAUCCCUGAUACCAGCAGUCUGCAAUUAAUUCUAAUUUAAAUAAUAUGAGCCAUACUCCUCAUCAUUCCUGAAAGAUAACAAUACACUUUUCAUCAUGAGACUUUUUCAUUCCGGAACCAGCAAGUUUGGGUUUUUGAUUCCAUCCUGAUUCUAUGCAUAUUCUUGAUGUUGAUGCUCUGUCCUCGUCAAGGCAACAGCCAGUUGGGAAAAUGUUCUUUUUCUAUUUAUAGUCCUUAAUAAGACUGUAAUAACCCCUGCAUAGGUAUGGCCCAAAUGUGUACUUAGUUCAAACCCUUGAAUUCUCUUCCUAUGGCAGCUGUUUCUGAGUAAUAUCAUAUAUUGUAGAUUUUGUCCAUUUGAGGAUGCCGUACACACAUAUAUCAGCAGAGUGAGUUUGCUAAGAAGAAGAUAAUAAAGGAUCCAUGUUUAACAGGCAUUGUAGUUCCAAUUGACUCAGACUGAAUAGAUAGUUGUUUAUGUCCUGAGAAUUUCACAAAUGACAACUGCCAAUUGAAGAAUUUUAUGCUUAUGUCCAUGAGGAAUAGGCCAAAAGUGGCGAAACUCAUUUCCACAUAGUUACUGUCUUCUUUUUUUGACAAGUUAACUUGUUUUAAGUCACCAUCCAACAUGUGAGCUCCAACUGUCAAGUGUUCUGAUGAUAUUGUACUUCUGUAUUUUUCUCUGGGACUACCUUUGUCAUAUGAGUAUUUGAACAGCAGACAUGGGUGACUGAACUGAUUUUAUGUCACUCAGAAGUCUCAGUGCAAUUCCCACAGAUGGCCAUCGAAUCCUUUGUCAGCAGAUAUCGUGCAAAUGGGAAAUAAGAUGCUUCAGUACGUUAUUCAAUAGAUGCAUAAAGCCUGCAAUCUUCUGGGUUUUGCCUAGUCUGAACGAAGUGAAUUGUUCACAAGGAUAUUCUUAACUGUGCUACUUUAAUCAGGAUAUUCCACGGUUAAACUAUAUAUUGCUGAGAGAAGCAAGACCGACAAGUUCAGUUCAUUUGCUGAUGUCCCAGAAAAAUGCACUCCUGUGCCAAUUGCUGAUCCAAAUUCUUAUUUUCAUGUAUCCUGCAGGUUGAGAGAUGUGCUGCAACAACGGAAAUUGCUGGAGAAACUCAGCAGGUUUGGCAGCAUCUGUGCAGAGAAAACAAAGUUGAUGUUGAAAAAGAAGUUACCAGCCACGGCGGUCUGAGCUGGAUAAGGUUGUGACAUUUUGGCUGAUGUGACUGAUAGCUUCAUCUUCACAAAGCAUUUUCCACAAGCCUUUACAACUGGAGAAUGCUGGAACUGAAUCCAUGUCAGCAGCCUCUGCUUUGGCUAGAUUUCAAAAUGAGCCUACCUAUCAGCUAGCCAGACUGUAUACCCUUCAGUUUAAAGAAAGGUGCUGUAUCAGUAGAAGAAUUCCUGUGAAAACAUUACAGCCAGGCAGAUGCAUUCCUUGGUACAGUGCUGAACUUGAUAGGAAGGCAUACGUUUUGAUCCUUAGCUGAUCUAAGCUGGAGUGUCAGACCACUGCAAUUGGACUCAGGGUGCUACACUCUGCAUCGGUCCCCCUAAGCUAGAGGGAAAAUCAAGCAGGUUUCCAAUUGCUGAUAUCCCGAAGCCACAUUUGAAACUCUGUGCCAAUUUGAGCAUUUGUAGAUGCAUGCUUGCAUUGUAAUUAAGAGCAGCUAAUACCAACUGGGGGCAAAUUUGGUCCCAUCUAUGAGAACGACUUUGGCAGGUGGCUCUUAUGGUGUAGUCAUAAUGUCUCUACCUGUGAGCCAAGAGGCCCUGGUUCAAGUUUCACCUGCUCUAGAGGUGUGUAGGAACAUUAGAAAAUAUCUAUAAGAGAGCCUGUUUAGUGGUGCAGUGUUUGUGAUCUUACAUCUGGACCAAACAUUUUAAGUUCGGAUCCCACCUGCCCCAGAAGUGUGUCAUAACAUGUGAUUUGACUUUUUUUCUAAAAAACCAGUCUCUACCUGAGAAUGUCUGCAGUCAUUUAGUACUGAAUGUUGUGAAUUGACCUGUGUGGAAGACAGAAAAAACGUCUGCCUCUUGCUUUGCCAGAUGGAUGUUGACCAAAUUAAUGAAUAUCUCUCUCUCUUCCUCUAAGAAGCUGCUUCAAAAGUACCUCAUGAUGAAGCAUUUGAUCAUUUGCUUUAUUGAAUCCUCCUUUGGCUCAAUCUCAGUUCCUGUUUCAUUGUACUCCCAGGAAGCUCGUGUAAGGGGGUUAUGUAAAUACAAGUUGUUAUUGUUAUUUGGACUCUUCACCUCUCUGGAAUGUGUGUACAGAACGUUGUACGAGGAUCGUGACUAUAAAUUAUUAACAUUUUCAGAGAUUUCUUUUUCUUCAGGAAAAUUAAGCAUCUCUGUGUUAAGACCAAGCAUGGACCUGAUUUAUCCCUUUCUUUUUGAUCCAGUUUUGUGUAUGAUCUAAAUAAUACAGACUACCAGAAUAGCUAUGUUGUAAAUUAAAGUACUCAGUUCCAUCAGUGAACUCUGGGGUAUUUCUUUCAAGCAAAUAUCAGUUUCAAAGAACAGUCACUUCAAAAUCUUUAAUAUAAAAUUGACAUUUAAGGGCCUAUCAAUGUGAAGGUGGUUUCAACUGUAUUAGAGCUCAGUAACAGGGUAAUGAGGUCCCUUAUCAGGUAUGAGAGUUUAAGCAGUUUUACCAAUUCAGAGAAUUACAUAGUGUACAGCUAUGCACACAUGGAACUGAGUUGUGACUUGUCUAAAUGUGGUGCUACAUUGCUCACUCUCCAGAAGUUCGGGAAUACAUGGAGUCAUUCUGCACCCUGGUCACCGUCACAGAAAAUGUUUAGCCUUUGGUUUGGCAGCAUGAACAACAGCAACAAUUUACAUUUCUAUAGCACUUCUAGUAUAAGUACCCCAAGAUGCAUGUAAACUUCAGGGCUAGAGGUUAGACAGAUGAUAUUUGAACAAAGAAUUCUGAAAAGAAUGAGUUGGAAUUGGAGGUGACAGUAUGUUUGAGGACCUUAAAAAGGUGAAAGCAGUUAGCAAUGUGGUUGGGAGAGUUGGAAGCAGAACAAACUGGUUGUUAAUGGUUAUUAGAAGCACAAUAAUUGGGGACUGGAUACGAUAAUUAGGAUCAUGGAAUGAGUUGAGUUAAAAGAUAAUAAAGAUAUGGCUUUAAUCUUAGGCAGCAAACCAUACAGUUAUACACAUCUGGUACUGCAAAGGUUGUGGAACUCGUUAAACAUCUCAGCUCUGCUGCUGAAUACUUCUGCUUCAGAACGAGCCAGCUUUUACAGCUAUAGCACUGGCAUGUAUCCAAAAAUGUGGCAAAUUGCCAGUUACAUCCUGUCCAAAAACAGGGUGAAUUCAAUUCAGCCAAUUACCACCCUAUUAGUGUAUUCUCAAUUGUCAGCAAAGUGGUAAAUCGACAGUGCUGACACAUAGACACUUACUCACCAAUAACCUGCCCCAUGAUGCUUAAUUUGGAGUUUUGCCAGGAUUACUUGGCUCCAGACCUUGUUUCUGCCUUGGCCCAACCAUAAACAAAAGAGGUGAAUUUCAGAGGCAAGGUGAAAGUGGUUGCCUGGACAUCAGACAGUGACAUUAAAGCAUUUUAGUCAAAUUGAAGUUGUUGGGAUUUGUUGGUUUGGGAGGAAGUGGGGUGGUUUUCAAAGAUCUGCUGUUGUGGAGAGGAUGUUAGCUAAUGAUUGCAUAGUGUUGAUUUUAAUUUGCAACUGCUCACAUAAUGAAGCAAUCCAUGCUGACGUGAGGCAAGACAUGGAUAUUGCUCACACUUAGGCUGAUAAGUGGUAUGUUGCAGUCACACCAUACAACUGUCAGGUGCCUUGUUCAGCCACUGCAGGCUGGAAGUUCCCACAACACCCUUGAGAGAUUCAAGAUCAUCCAAGAUAAAGUGGCUCACUUGAUCAGCACCCAUCCAUCACUGUAAGCGCUCAUUCUUUUAACCCAGUGGUGCACAAUAGUAGCAGUGUGUAUCGUCUACAAGAUGCAUCGCAGCAACUUGCCAACUCCUUUCAUACCCACAGC